GACGAACCGUGCAAACGUUAUUCGGAAUCACUGGGCAUAAAGGGCGCGUAGGCGGCUUUCUAAGUCAGGGGUGAAAUCCGGCAGCUCAACUGUCGCAGUGCCUUUGAUAUUGGAGAGCUCGAGGGAGGUAGGGGUCUGUGGAACUUCCGGUGGAGCGGUGAAAUGCGUUGAUAUCGGAAGGAACACCGGUGGCGAAAGCGGCGCGCUGGAUCUCUUCUGACGCUGAGGCGCGAAAGCCAGGGGAGCAAACGGG
rnacentral:rRNA from 1 species